rnacentral:rRNA from 1 species
GAUGAACGCUGGCGGCGUGCUUAACACAUGCAAGUCGAGCGAAGCACUUAAGUUUGAUUCUUCGGAUGAAGACUUUUGUGACUGAGCGGCGGACGGGUGAGUAACGCGUGGGUAACCUGCCUCAUACAGGGGGAUAACAGUUAGAAAUGACUGCUAAUACCGCAUAAGACCACAAGGUCGCAUGACCCGGUGGUAAAAACUCCGGUGGUAUGAGAUGGACCCGCGUCUGAUUAGCUAGUUGGUGGGGUAACGGCUCACCAAGGCGACGAUCAGUAGCCGACCUGAGAGGGUGACCGGCCACAUUGGGACUGAGACACGGCCCAAACUCCUACGGGAGGCAGCAGUGGGGAAUAUUGCACAAUGGGGGAAACCCUGAUGCAGCGACGCCGCGUGAAGGAUGAAGUAUUUCGGUAUGUAAACUUCUAUCAGCAGGGAAGAAAAUGACG